rnacentral:rRNA from 1 species
CAGUCGCCGCGGGAAUACGAAGGGGGCAAGCGUUGUCCGGAAUUAUUGGGCGUAAAGCGCGCGCAGGCGGUUUUUUAAGUCUGGUGUCUAAGUGCGGGGCUCAACCCCGUGACGCACUGGAAACUGGGAGACUUGAGUGCAGAAGAGGAGAGCGGAAUUCCACGUGUAGCGGUGAAAUUCGUAGAUAUUCGGAAGAACACCAGUGGCGAAGGCGGCUCACUGGACUGGUAUUGACGCUGAGGUGCGAAAGCGUGGGGAGCAAACAGGAUUAGAUACCCCCGUAGUCCCUGUCUCUUAUACA